GGAAUAUUGGUCAAUGGGCGCGAGCCUGAACCAGCCAAGUCGCGUGAAGGAAGACUGCCCUAUGGGUUGUAAACUUCUUUUGUACAGGAAUAAAGUGGGUUACGUGUAACCUUUUGUAUGUACUGUACGAAUAAGGAUCGGCUAACUCCGUGCCAGCAGCCGCGGUAAUACGGAGGAUCCAAGCGUUAUCCGGAUUUAUUGGGUUUAAAGGGUGCGUAGGCGGACUUGUAAGUCAGUGGUGAAAGUUUUGAGCUUAACUGAAAAAUUGCCAUUGAAACUGCGGGUCUUGAGUGCAAAUGAGGUAUGCGGAAUGUGUUGUGUAGCGGUGAAAUGCAUAGAUAUGACACAGAACUCCGAUUGCGAAGGCAGCAUACUGGGAUGCAACUGACGCUGAUGCACGAAAGCGUGGGUAUCAAACAGGAUUAGAUACCCUGGUAGUCCACGCAGUAAACGAUGAAUACUCGCUGUUUGCGAUAUACAGUAAGCGGCCAAGCGAAAGCGUUAAGUAUUCCACCUGGGGAGUACG
rnacentral:rRNA from 1 species